rnacentral:rRNA from 1 species
UACGGAGGGUGCAAGCGUUAUCCGGAUUCACUGGGUUUAAAGGGUGCGUAGGCGGGUAAGUAAGUCCGUGGUGAAAUCUCUGAGCUUAACUCAGAAACUGCCGUGGAUACUAUUUGCCUUGAAUAUUGUGGAGGUGAGCGGAAUAUGUCAUGUAGCGGUGAAAUGCGUAGAUAUCAGUCGGAACACCCAUGGCGAAGGCAGCUGCCUGGCCUAAUACUGACGCUGAGGUGCGAAAGCGUGGGGAGCGAACGGG